rnacentral:tRNA from 1 species
GGGCUUGUAGCUCAACCUGGUAGAGCAUCGCCCUUGCAAGGCGGGGGCUGCGGGUUCAAAUCCCGCCGAGUCCA